rnacentral:rRNA from 1 species
UACAGAGGUCCCAAGCGUUGUUCGGAUUCAUUGGGCGUAAAGGGUGCGUAGGCGGCGCGGUAAGUCGGGUGUGAAAUUUCGGAGCUUUAACUCCGAAACUGCAUUCGAUACUGCGGUGCUUGAGGACUGGAGAGGAGACUGGAAUUCAUGGUGUAGCAGUGAAAUGCGUAGAGAUCAUGAGGAAGACCAGUGGCGAAGGCGGGUCUCUGGACAGUUCCUGACACUGAGACACGAAGGCCAGGGGAGCAAACGGG